CCUACGGGUGGCAGCAGUAGGGAAUAUUGCUCAAUGGGGGAAACCCUGAAGCAGCAACGCCGCGUGGAGGAUGAAGGUUUUCGGAUUGUAAACUCCUUUUGUUAGAGGAGAUAAUGACGGUAUCUAACGGAUAAGCACCGGCUAACUCCGUGCCAGCAGCCGCGGUAAUACGGAGGGUGCCAGCGUUACUCGGAAUCACUGGGCGUAAAGAGAGCGUAGGCGGGAUAGCAAGUCAGAUGUGAAAUCCUCUGGCUUAACCAUAGAACUGCAUUUGAAACUGUUAUUCUAGAGUAUGGGAGAGGCAGGUGGAAUUCGUGGUGUAGGGGUAAAAUCCGUAGAGAUCAAGAGGAAUACUCAUUGCGAAGGCGACCUGCUAGAACAUAACUGACGCUGAUGCGCGAAAGCGUGGGGAGCAAACAGGAUUAGAUACCCGAGUAGUC
rnacentral:rRNA from 1 species